rnacentral:siRNA from 1 species
GAUCGUGUGGUGAUUGUAGUGUC